rnacentral:rRNA from 1 species
CUACGGGCCGCAGCAGUCGAGAAUAGUCUACAAUGGGGGAAACCCUGAUAGUGCGACGCCGCGUGAACGAAGAAGCUUUUCGGAGUGUAAAGUUCUUUUCUGUAUGAGCAAUGCUUUAUUGUUUAAGAGAUAAUAGAGAGAGAUAUUAGUACAGGAAUAAGCCACGGCUAACUCCGUGCCAGCAGCCGCGGUAAUACGGGGGUGGCAAGCGUUGUCCGGAAUUACUAGGCGUAAAGGGCAGGUAGGCGGAUAUUCAAGUCAGGCGUUAAAGGCAUCAGCUCAACUGGUGUACGGCGUUUGAAACUGGAGAGCUAGAGUCAGGUAGAGGUAGAUGGAAUUCCUAGUGUAGCGGUGGAAUGCGCAGAGAUUAGGAAGAACACCAAAGGCGAAGGCAAUCUACUGGGCCAUGACUGACGCUAAACUGCGAAGGUGUGGGUAUCAAACAGGAUUAGAUACCCUUGUAGUC